ensembl:lncRNA
GUCUUCUGACUGGCCAGUGUCACACCCUACCAGUUCCACACAGCUUAGACCAAGUCAGUGAUACCCAGCAGCAGAGGGCCUACUAUUUGCCAAUGGAGAUCACAAACCAAGUCUUCAGAGCUGCACUACGCGACUCAGCAUCUGAGGAAUAUCAGAGCAUGUAUACUGAAGUCAACCACUUGGUAAGAUAAAUAAAGAAAAGUUCGUAGGCGCUCCAAUGAGGUACCUCUUAAUCAUUUCAUGCUUAGCAUGAUAACUUUAUACUGUAGCUAUAUUUUUGCAAUUGUAUCUUUGGUGUCACAACAUUGAGAGUAUAGAGUGGCAAUGGUAAUGAUACUUAAUAUUCUCAGUGGUUUGUAAUUUACAGCACAAAUAUGUUUAUAAUAUUUUAUAAAAAUAUGAGGGGGGCCCAAUUAAUAAAACGAAACAAAAAGAUAUAAAAAACUUUAUUACAGUCAGGUGUAGAAAUAAUUUCAUUGUGCCUUCAAAUAGUACAUGACUGUAAUUUAGUGGCUGUGUAGAAAUUAACCUGCAACAUUGACUCGUCCCAAACCAGGAAGUACCCCAGUAUGGAGUUUAGUUUGGUUGCUGUCAGUGUGGAAACAUUUUCCACACUGACAGAAACUUAAGAUAGUUAAGUGUUAAUGUGUGUUUUUCUUUGUUUUGCAGCUUGGAGGGGUUUACAACUGCUCUGACAACACUGUGUGUCCAACAAAUUCUUUCUAUGGGGGUGUUGCAGAAAUGACAUUCAGGUCUGGAUCAGUAAUCGCAAAUGCAACUGUGGUCUUCAAUACUGUCUCAAUUAACCCUGUCAUUGUGUACUACGUUUUUGUUGACAACGUCAACAAAGUUCAGCCUCAAACCCUGCAGCUCAAUCUGGCUUACACAAGCAGUGAGUUCUACAACUGAAUGGACAAAACUCCAACUAUUUCUUUUAUUCAAGUUACAAUAUAUUCUAUAUUUUUAACCUAUAAUUCCCUUUUCCCCUCAGUGGACAAAGUACAACAAACUACAGUGCCUCCUGUUACAGCAGCAACACCUACUACAACCACAACAACUGCUGCUACAACCACAACAACACCUACUACAACUACAACACAUACUAUUACCACAACAACACAUACUAUAACCACAACACCUACUACUACACCUACUACAACCACAACACCUACUACUACACCUAUUACAACCACAACAACACAUACUACAACUACAACACAUACUACUACCACAACAACACAAACUACAACCACAGCACCUACUACUACACCUACUACAACCACAACAACACAUACUACAACCACAGCACCUACUACUACACCUACUACAACCACAACAACACAUACUACAGCUACAACACACACUAAUACCACAACACAUACUACAACCACAACACCUACUACUACACCUACUACAACCACAACAACACAUACUACAACCACAACACCUACUACUACACCUACUACAACCACAACAACACAUACUACAGCUACAACACACACUAAUACCACAACACAUACUACAACCACAACACCUACUACUACACCUACUACAACCACAACAACACCUACUACUACACCUACUACAACCACAACAACACAUACUACAACUACAACACACACUACUACCACAACAACACAUAUUACAACAACAACACCCAUUACUACACCUACUACAACCACAACAACACCUACUUCAACCACAACAACACCUACUACAACACCUAGUACAACUAUAACACCUACUACAACCACAACAACAUCUACUACAACCACAACAACACCUAAUACUUUAUCUAGUACAGCCACAACCACAACACCUACUACAACCACAACAACACCUAUUACUACACCUACUACAACCACAACAACAGAUACUACAACCCAUACUAGAGCCAAAACAACGCCUACUACUACUUUAGCCACAAAAACAGCACCUCUAACUACUACUACACAUACUACUACCACAACAACACAUACUUAUAAACCUGAUACAACCACAACAACAGAUACUAAAACAACAGAUAGAAAAAGUAAAACACCUUCUACUUUUCAGACUGCUACCACAACAACAGAUACUACAACAGAUAGUAGAGCCAAAACAACACUUCUGACUACAAAUACACAUUCUACUACCACAUUUACAUUUACAUUUACAUUUACUAGUAACACAAAAAAAAACAUUGUUACUACAACACCUACCAUGAAUGCAACACGUAAUACCACCAGAACAACACCUAAGAAUACUACCACAAUAUUUACUAGUAACAUAACAAUACCUAUCGUUACUAAAACACCUACUACUAUUACAGCAGCUACAAUGACUACUACCACAGAAAAAAGUAUGCCUACUACAUUAACAACACCUACCAACACACCCAUUUCAAACACAACUCAUAGCAAAAUCAUUUCUGCUGUUCCUUUUACAAAUACAACUACACCUAGUAAUACCUCAACACGUACUAUUUCAGCUAAAACAACACCCACAACAAAGCCCGCUCCAAACACUUCAACAACACCAAUUUCAAAGAUAUCAACACCUAGUAAAACUACCUCUAAAACUGCCACAAAGACAAGUACAUCAGUCACACAUUAUACAACCACCACAACACCUGCUAAAAAUAACACAGCUACCUCCAAACCUACACCUCAAACAAAGACAGCUUCACCUACUACUAUUCGAUAUCCUACAACUGCACUACAUAAAAACACAUCCUCUGGUGAGACUGUAGUGGUUUCGACUACCACAUUAAAUACCAGAAAUCAUAGUGAUGGUAACACCAACACUUCUCAAAAGCCAACGUCAGACAGCACUGCAUCUGUGAAGCCAAAUGACAAGGAAACAUCUCAGAGUGUUUCCUCUAGAAAACCGGAUGGUCAUGAGACACCAGAUCACAACAUCAUCACUAGUGGCAGCAACAGCAAGAGCAACAGCAGCAUCAGUAAUGGCAGUGGCAACAAUUCAAACACUGACUGGGUACCUGGAUGGGCUAUAGCCCUCAUAGUAUUAGCUGCUGUCAUUUUACUGCUACUCAUAAUCAUCUUUAUUAUGAUGUUGGUUCGAUGGUGUUGUAAGAAAACAGGCAGUGACCAUAUGGACAUGAGGCAGGAUCCGUAUAACACGAAACAGAAACAACCACCCCAGGCUCCUCUGCCAGUAUACUCUCUUGAACCACCAGUGACACACAGCAUAGCGUCUGCUCCUUUAUUUAUUGGAGACUCACCUAAGAAGAACCGGACAGGGUUCUAUGCAGUAAAUCCUUAA